rnacentral:rRNA from 1 species
UACAGAGGUCCCGAGCGUUGUUCGGAUUCACUGGGCGUAAAGGGUGCGCAGGUGGCAUGGUAAGUUUGAUGUGAAAGCCCCGGGCUUAACCCGGGAAUGGCAUUGAAUACUACUGUGCUGGAGGAUCGGAGGGGGGACUGGAAAUUCUUGGUGUAGCAGUGAAAUGCGUAGAUAUCAGGAGGAAUACCGAUGGGCGAAGGCAGGUCUCGUGGGCUGACACUGACGCUCAUGCACGAAAGCGUGGGGAGCAAACAGG